GAUGAACGCUGGCGGCGUGCUUAACAAAUGCAAGUCGAACGGAAAGGCCCAAGCUUGCUUGGGUCCUCGAGUGGCGAACGGGUGAGUAACACGUGGGUGAUCUGCCCUGCACUUCGGGAUAAGCCUGGGAAACUGGGUCUAAUACCGGAUAGGACCACUUCUUGGAUGUUGUGGUGGAAAGUUUUUUCGGUCAGGGCUGAGCCCGCGGCCUAUGAGCUUGUUGGUGGGGUAAUGGCCUACCAAAGCGUCGACGGGAAGCCGGCCUGGGGAGGUGUACGACGAUAUUGGUCAUGGGAAACCGGCCGGGCAGCCAGAACCGGCAGAGGUGCGGAGUGAUGCACAAUGGGCACAAACCUAAUGUCGCGAUGCCAAGUGAGGUAUGACGCCCCUGGGGUUGCAAGCUCCUUUGGCUAGACACAAGGCGCUUUGUGAAGGUACCUGAGGAAGAAGCCCCGGCUAACUACGUG
rnacentral:rRNA from 1 species